rnacentral:rRNA from 1 species
AGAAUGAACGCUGGCGGCAUGCCUAACACAUGCAAGUCGAACGAAUUACCUUCGGGUAGUUAGUGGCGCACGGGUGCGUAACGCGUGGGAAUCUGCCCCUUGGUUCGGAAUAACAGCGAGAAAUUGCUGCUAAUACCGGAUGAUGACGUAAGUCCAAAGAUUUAUCGCCAAGGGAUGAGCCCGCGUAGGAUUAGGUAGUUGGUGUGGUAAAGGCGCACCAAGCCGACGAUCCUUAGCUGGUCUGAGAGGAUGAUCAGCCACACUGGGACUGAGACACGGCCCAGACUCCUACGGGAGGCAGCAGUGGGGAAUAUUGGACAAUGGGCGAAAGCCUGAUCCAGCAAUGCCGCGUGAGUGAUGAAGGCCUUAGGGUUGUAAAGCUCUUUUACCCGGGAUGAUAAUGACAGUACCGGGAGAAUAAGCUCCGGCUAACUCCGCGCCAGCAGCCGC